rnacentral:rRNA from 1 species
GCGUGCCUAAUACAUGCAAGUCGAGCGAACGGAUGAGAAGCUUGCUUCUCUGAUGUUAGCGGCGGACGGGUGAGUAACACGUGGAUAACCUACCUAUAAGACUGGGAUAACUUCGGGAAACCGGAGCUAAUACCGGAUAAUAUAUUGAACCGCAUGGUUCAAUAGUGAAAGACGGUUUUGCUGUCACUUAUAGAUGGAUCCGCGCCGCAUUAGCUAGUUGGUAAGGUAACGGCUUACCAAGGCAACGAUGCGUAGCCGACCUGAGAGGGUGAUCGGCCACACUGGAACUGAGACACGGUCCAGACUCCUACGGGAGGCAGCAGUAGGGAAUCUUCCGCAAUGGGCGAAAGCCUGACGGAGCAACGCCGCGUGAGUGAUGAAGGUCUUCGGAUCGUAAAACUCUGUUAUUAGGGAAGAACAAAUGUGUAAGUAACUAUGCACGUCUUGACGGUACCUAAUCAGAAAGCCACGGCUAACUACGUGCCAGCAGCCGCGGUAAUACGUAGGUGGCAAGCGUUAUCCGGAAUUAUUGGGCGUAAAGCGCGCGUAGGCGGUUUUUUAAGUCUGAUGUGAAAGCCCACGGCUCAACCGUGGAGGGUCGUUGGAAACUGGAAAACUUGAGUGCAGAAGAGGAAAGUGGAAUUCCAUGUGUAGCGGUGAAAUGCGCAGAGAUAUGGAGGAACACCAGUGGCGAAGGCGACUUUCUGGUCUGUAA